rnacentral:rRNA from 1 species
GCAGCAGCGCGAAACCUUUACACUGCACGAACGUGCGAUAAGGGGACUCCGAGUGCGAGGGCAUACAGUCCUCGCUAUUGUGUACCGUAGGGUGGUACACGACCAAGAGCUGGGCAAGACCGGUGCCAGCCGCCGCGGUAAUACCGGCAGCUCGAGUGAUGGCCGAUUUUAUUGGGCCUAAAGCGUCCGUAGCUGGCCCUGCAAGUCCGUCGGGAAAUCCACUCGCCUAACGAGUGGGCGUCCGGCGGAAACUACAGGGCUUGGGACCGGAAGACUUGAGGGGUACGUCUGGGGUAGGAGUGAAAUCCUGUAAUCCUGGACGGACCGCCGAUAGCGAAAGCACCUCAAGACGACGGAUCCGACAGUGAGGGACGAAAGCUAGGGUCUCGAACCGGAUUAGAUACCCGGGUAGUCCUAGCUGUAAACGAUGUUCGCUAGAUGUGGCACAGGCUACGUGCCUGUGCUGUGUCGUAGGAAGCCGAGAAGCGAACCGCCUGGAA